AUUGAACGCUGGCGGCAUGCCUUACACAUGCAAGUCGAACGGUAACGCGGGGCAACCUGGCGGCGAGUGGCGAACGGGUGAGUAAUGCAUCGGAACGUGCCCAGUAGUGGGGGAUAGCCCGGCGAAAGCCGGAUUAAUACCGAAUACGACCUACGGGUGAAAGCGGGGGACCGUAAGGCCUCGCGCUAUUGGAGCGGCCGAUGUCAGAUUAGGUUGUUGGUGGGGUAAAGGCCUACCAAGCCGACGAUCUGUAGCUGGUCUGAGAGGACGACCAGCCACACUGGGACUGAGACACGGCCCAGACUCCUACGGGAGGCAGCAGUGGGGAAUUUUGGACAAUGGGGGCAACCCUGAUCCAGCCAUGCCGCGUGCGGGAAGAAGGCCUUCGGGUUGUAAACCGCUUUUGUCAGGGAAGAAACGCUCCGAGCUAAUACCUUGGGGUAAUGACGGUACCUGAAGAAUAAGCACCGGCUAACUACGUGCCAGCAGCCGCCGUAACAC
rnacentral:rRNA from 1 species